AUGGUGCCAAAAUCAUAUGGUGUGCCAUGUCUAGCACCUCAUACUCCAGCAAAUAAGAUGGAGAAGCAGUGCAGAGUUCACUGCAAACAUUCCCCUGCUUUCUGCUAUGUGCUGUUCAGUGGUGAUGCAAGCCUGAAGCCAGGGAACAGGUGCUGUGUUGUGCUUUCUUGCUUCCACUGCACCUCAGAGCAGGGUACGAAUCCUCCUUGCAUUUUGAUACAUCUAAAGCCACAUUUGAUAGGAAGUACAUCCAUGGCUACCUUUUACAGGAGGCAGGAGAAAUGGAUUAUGAUUCUGCCUUUUUUAUUUCUGGGUUGAAGUUUGGAAGAGCACAGCCUUUUCACCUAGCUUUACUCAGGUUAGAAAUGGGUGUUGUGAAAGACGAGAGUGAGCCUUGUAGUUUAGCCUGAUGCCUGCAAAAGGUAGGGGCUCCUUCCCUGAACUAGCUGGGGAUUUUUUUUAUUUAUUUAUUUUUUCCAGCAAAGCAUCCCUUUUUUAUGAAUUUCUAAUGAAUUAUCAAAACAGAAAUGACACAUGUGGGGGCAUUUUCAUUUGGUUCAUGGACCAAAGAAAUUAAUGCCAUGCCCACAAAGGGGAUAGGGAGAGGAAAACACAAUUCUGAUGCUGCUAAAUCCUUUGUGUGCACAGGAGCUGGAUGUUUUGUGCAACUCUGCUUCUCCAUCUCAAAGAGAAUAGACCAGCAGUCAGAAAAGCCCAGCAAAGGGCAGAGGUGAUCAGAUGCGAUGCACAGCUUCUUCCUGAGAAUUUUUAUAUAUAUAUUUUUAAUUACCUUGGAGAAGAGCUGACAAGCAGUGGAGGUGAGGGGCUCCUGCAGAGCCCUGGAAGCUGUGACACACAGGGAGAGGAACAAGAGCUCGACGCCUUCUCCACCACAUACCAUGAUGCAAGGGCAUGGGUUUUCACAUGACCUGCGACUGAGCCAGGAAACUCCUUGGGGCAAGGUACAGGAGGUGUUAAAGUCUUCAGUGGAAUAAAGGGCACAUCAGAGCAAAAGGCA
rnacentral:lncRNA from 1 species